GAGACCUGGCGCCGGGCGCUUUGAGGCCCGGCUUACUCCCUUGCUGGGUAUGGGGAAGGGGCGUCUUCUGUCCUUGUGGUCCGCUUCUAGGCUUUUUGGAGCAUCUUCCAGGGUCACUCCAGAGACCCCCCCAGACUACUGAAUCUGAAUCCGUUAGGGUGGUCCAACCUUCCUCUUCAGGUGUCUACUAGAGGCAAGGUUGGAUGUAUGCGGCUGCCCUCAGUACAGCCCCUUCCUUGUUUUUUCUUCAUUUGUGUUUACUUAAAACAUUAAUCCUUUUCUCCCUCUCCUCCAUCCCUCUCCCUCCCCUACUAUACAGUUAUUGACUUACACUAAUUCAUUCCCGAUGAUCUCCCAGAAGGAAAUAAGUGUCUGUCUGUCUCUGUCUCUGUACCAUCGUCUUCUUGGUACAGUUCGGACUAUUUUUUCUCUACACCCCAGUUAUGCAAAGUGUAGUCCCUGAACCAGCAGCCUCAGCAUCCUGAGGGAAUUUGUUAAAAACGCGAAAUCUCAAGCCCUACCCAGACUUACUGAAUCAGUGUCUGCAUUGCAACAAGAUCCCCUGGUAAUUCCUAUGCACAUCAAAAUUUGGAAGGCACAGCUCUCAACUGAUGUCCUGGGUCUCCUUCACAUCCAUCCUGGGAAGGUCUUAUUCCUCAUUCCUGAGCUCAUCCCACUGAAGAGCUAUGGCACUUCCAAUUCCUGAGCCUUUGUGAGGUUCUGCGUGUCAGUAAGCUUGCUUCCGGGCAUCACCUCCGAAAACACUUGGGUUUCAGUUUUCUCUGUGAGGCUUCUUAAGGAGUGGAGGAAAGUGGAUGUUUUCAAGAUAACGCAGCUAACAUUCAAAGAGGUUAAGUGAAUUGUCCAAAGUCACACAGCAAGCACUGGAGGCUGGAGUGCAAUGGUGUGAUCUCAGCUCACUGCAACCUCUGCCUCUCAGAUUCAAGUGAUUCUCCUGCCUCAGCCUCCCAAGUUGCUGAGAUUACAGGUGCGCGCCACCACACUUGGCUAAUUUUUUUAUUUUUAGUAGAGACAGGGUUUUGCCAUGUUGGCCAAGCUGGCCUUGGACUCCUGACCUCAGGUGAUCUACCCACCUUGGCCUCCCAAAGUUCUGGGAUUACAUGCGUGAGCCGCUGUGCCCAGCCCAACAAUUAUUCUUAUAGCUAAAGAUACACAUUGUUUGUAGAGAAACCGAGUUUUCUGUUACUUCACUUGAAUAUAAGGGGAUUAAAUAUCUUUUUGUAGUCGGAAAAGC
rnacentral:lncRNA from 1 species